rnacentral:rRNA from 1 species
CCCUUAGAUGUUCUGGGCUGCACACGUGCUACACUGGCAGGUUCAGCGAGCUUCAUGCCCUGAUCUGAAAGGAAUGGGAAAUCUUUUCAAAACCUGCCGUGCUUGGGAUAGAUGUUUGCAAUUAUUCAUCUUCAACGAGGAUUGCCUUGUAAGCGCACGUCAUCAGCGUGCAUUGAAUACGACCCUGUAUUCUGUACACACCGCCCGUCGCUCCUACCGAUUGAAGUUUUCGGUGAGUUGACAGGAGGAUUUUUUUGAAACUGGUUCGCCAGUGGAUUUUAGAUCCAAAUGCCAACGAAUCGAUGGCUUUUGAGGAAGGAGAAGUCGUAACA